GACGAACGCUGGCGGCGUGCUUAACACAUGCAAGUCGUACGGUAAGGCCCUUUCGGGGGUACACGAGUGGCGAACGGGUGAGUAACACGUGAGUAACCUGCCCACAACUUUGGGAUAACGCUAGGAAACUGGUGCUAAUACUGGAUAUGUGCUCCUGCUGCAUGGUGGGGGUUGGAAAGCUCCGGCGGUUGUGGAUGGACUCGCGGCCUAUCAGCUUGUUGGUGGGGUAGUGGCCUACCAAGGCGGCGACGGGUAGCCGGCCUGAGAGGGUGACCGGCCACAUUGGGACUGAGAUACGGCCCAGACUCCUACGGGAGGCAGCAGUGGGGAAUAUUGCACAAUGGGCGCAAGCCUGAUGCAGCAACGCCGCGGGCGGGAUGACGGCCUUCCGGUUGUAAACCGCUUUCAGCAGGGACGAAGCUUUUUGUGACGGUACCUGCAGAAGAAGCACCGGCUAACUACGUG
rnacentral:rRNA from 1 species